rnacentral:rRNA from 1 species
UACGUAGGGUGCGAGCGUUAAUCGGAAUUACUGGGCGUAAAGCGUGCGCAGGCGGUUUUGUAAGUCAGAUGUGAAAUCCCCGGGCUUAACCUGGGAACUGCGUUUGAAACUACAAGGCUAGAGUGUGGCAGAGGGGGGGUGGAAUUCCACGUGUAGCAGUGAAAUGCGUAGAGAUGUGGAGGAACACCGAUGGCGAAGGCAGCCCCCUGGGCUAACACUGACGCUCAUGCACGAAAGCGUGGGGAGCAAACAGG